GAUGAACGCUGGCGGCGUGCCUAAUACAUGCAAGUCGAGCGGACGGACGAGGAGCUUGCUUCUCUGAUGUUGGCGGCGGACGGGUGAUUCACACGUGGCUACCCUACCUAUAAGACUGGGGUAACUUCGGGAACGCUGAUCUCAUACCGGAUCAUAUUUUGAACCGCGUGGUUCAACAGUCAAAGCCGUUUUUGCUGACCCUUAUAGGUGGAUCCGCGCUGCAUUAGCUAGUUGGUACGGUAACGGCUUACCAAGGCGACGAUGCGUAGCCGACCUGAGAGGAUGAUCGGCCACACUGGAACUGAGACACGGUCCAGACUCCUACGGGAGGCAGCAGUAGGGAAUAUUGGGCAAUGGGCGAAAGCCUGACGGAGCAACGCCGCGUGAGUGAUGAAGGUCUUCGGAUUGUAAAGCUCUGUUAGUAGGGAAGAAGAGAAGUGUAAGUAACUGUGCCUGUCUUGACGGUACCUAAUGAGAAAGCCCCGGCUAACUACGUG
rnacentral:rRNA from 1 species